GCCCGCUGCUGCCGCUGGUGCGGCGGCUGGCGGGACCGAAGACGCCAUAGUCUCCCGCGCACCCGACCGAGUACAAGCAGGAGCCGGUAAAGGGAGCAAGGACUCUUUCCUUUGAAGGACUCACAAGCCCCUGUAUCCUGUAUUUACCAGCUGGCAAUCAUGCUGAACCUCUUUCCCAACUUAGAAAAAGCCAGAUGAUGGGCAUCCCUGAUGCUGAAGGUUCCUAUCUUCCAUCCAUAAAAAGGUUGUACUCCCAGCACUCAUGAUGACAUCUACUCACCAAUCUGGGCAGAAUGGCCCCUCUUUCCAGAGCUCUUGUACCGAACAGCUUCCUUGAUGCGGUCUACCUCCUGCUGGU